GUGUUCUCAACUCAGCAGCACAUAUGCUGAAAUCAGAAUGAUACGGAUUUUAGCAUGGUCCCUGCUCAAGGAUGACGUAAAAAUAUAUGAAGCAUUCCCUAUUUUA